AAACCACUAUUACAAGAUAAAAGAAGAUUUCCUGAUUCGUCAUUUAGUGCUUCUGCUUCUUCAGAAGGUCACAGUGCUUCUGAUGUAAGAAUAUCUAGUGGUAGUUCUUGGUGUGCUCCUGUCUCGAAUGACACCCAUUAUCUUCAAGUGAACUUAGGAAGACUGUACGAUCUAUACCGUCUCGUAACAUACGGUGACCGUAUCAGCCCAAAAUGGGUGGCCUCGUAUAACCUGAAUUACACCAUUGACUUGG
rnacentral:lncRNA from 1 species